rnacentral:rRNA from 1 species
GCUAAGGGGAUCUUUUGGCACCUCUAAAAAUGGUGCAGAAUAAGGGGUGGGCAAGCCUGGUGUCAGCCGCCGCGGUAAUACCAGCACCCCGAGUGGUCGGGACGAUUAUUGGGCCUAAAGCAUCCGUAGCCGGUCAUGCAAGUCUUCCGUUAAAUCCAGCCGCUCAACGGUUGGGCUGCGGAGGAUACUAUGUGGCUAGGAGGCGGGAGAGGCAAGCGGUACUCAGUGGGUAGGGGUAAAAUCCUUUGAUCCAUUGAAGACCACCAGUGGCGAAGGCGGCUUGCCAGAACGCGCUCGACGGUGAGGGAUGAAAGCUGGGGGAGCAAACCGGAUUAGAUACCCGGGUAGUCCCAGCUGUAAACGAUGCAGACUCGGUGAUGGGAUGGCCUCGAGCUAUCCCAGUGCCGCAGGGAAGCCGUUAAGUCUGCCGCCUGGGGAGUACGGUCGCAAGACUGAAACUUAAAGGAAUUGGCGGG